rnacentral:rRNA from 1 species
UGAGGAAUAUUGGUCAAUGGGCGAGAGCCUGAACCAGCCAAGUAGCGUGCGGGACGACGGCCCUAUGGGUUGUAAACCGCUUUUGAUUGGGAACAAAGAGCGCCACGUGUGGUGCGUUGCGUGUACCUUUCGAAUAAGCAUCGGCUAAUUCCGUGCCAGCAGCCGCGGUAAUACGGAAGGUCCGGGCGUUAUCCGGAUUUAUUGGGUUUAAAGGGAGCGCAGGCCGCCGGGCAAGCGUGUUGUGAAAUGCAGUCGCUCAACGUCUGCACUGCAGCGCGAACUGCCCAGCUUGAGUGCGCGCAACGUUGGCGGAAUUCGCCGUGUAGCGGUGAAAUGCUUAGAUAUGGCGAAGA